AUGUAAUGUAAUUCCUACAACGUUAAUGCACUGAAUCCCAUUAGAACUGUGUAUUUAAGAGUGCAUGGGACAAAUUUGUAUUGGGAUGGGUGACCUCCUGGGAAGUCUUAGUGUUUUACAUG
rfam:Picea glauca, whole genome shotgun sequence.